rnacentral:rRNA from 1 species
AACGAACGCUGGCGGCAGGCUUAACACAUGCAAGUCGAACGCCCCGCAAGGGGAGUGGCAGACGGGUGAGUAACGCGUGGGAAUCUACCCAUCUCUACGGAAUAACUCAGGGAAACUUGUGCUAAUACCGUAUACGCCCUUCGGGGGAAAGAUUUAUCGGAGAUGGAUGAGCCCGCGUUGGAUUAGCUAGUUGGUGGGGUAAAGGCCUACCAAGGCGACGAUCCAUAGCUGGUCCGAGAGGAUGAUCAGCCACAUUGGGACUGAGACACGGCCCAAACUCCUACGGGAGGCAGCAGUGGGGAAUAUUGGACAAUGGGCGCAAGCCUGAUCCAGCCAUGCCGCGUGAGUGAUGAAGGCCCUAGGGUUGUAAAGCUCUUUCACCGGUGAAGAUAAUGACGGUAACCGGAGAAGAAGCCCCGGCUAACUUCGUGCCAGCCGCCGCGGUAACAC